rnacentral:lncRNA from 1 species
UGAGAGCCGUAGCCAUAUGUACGACCUUCAUGUCAUGAUUUAUUGUUGAUGUUGUUACAGGGUGGUUAAGCUUCACCAGUGGCCUCCUUCCCGAGGCAAUUCCCUGCUCUCCCCUGCUAGAGGGGCACCCUAAGCCAUUCACCCCAUCCGACUUCAAAGUGUACUCUUUGAGUUUGGCAACUCACCACCAGCAUCCAACCAAGUCUAGCGGAUCAACGGCGCGUCAUGUUAGUUCCUGGUCAGCUCGCGAGUUGAUUUUAUCACGUCCUACACCGUCCACAAGAUGGGGGGCCACCUCCCAUUUCAUCACCUCUCCAACACCCCAAGAGGUCGGCAGGCGGAUUUGAACCCGGACGCGUCGGGACGCGAUGGGAGCAGAAGCCAGGCCUUAACUUCUGCCAGCCGCCUGCCUUAUUGUUAUAUGCUGUGGGUGGGUACCGAGAGGUAACAGCUCAACCUUAUCCAGGUUAAGUUGCUGUCCAGAAGCCUGUGCGUACACCCUCAUACAGUCAAGGAAAGCCGGAAUUGCUUGGAUUCCUUCUAAAACAACUUCCGUAUCGUCAGCAAAUUGCACACCUGUAACCAAUUCUGAAUUAUUUUGGGGUAAAUGAAUCCCCACUCGGUUGUAUUGUAACCAACAUAGUAACGCCUGCGCGGCAAACAAGUAUAGCAACGGUGCCAACGGACAUCCCUGUCGCACACCCGCUGUAAGAGCAACUUCACGGGAAACAAAACCAUUUACUACCGCUUUCGACGCUGUAUCGGAUAAAAGAAGUUUAGUCCAACUAAUUAACCCUGCUCCUGCGCCCAUAGCAUCCAUUGCUUCAAAUAAAAAAUUACGAUCCAAGGAAUCGUAAGCUUUAGCAAUAUCCAAAAAAUCCAGGAGACACGACUGUCCUGUCGUCGACAUAAGUUGCGGUAGAUGCCGCAGGAAAGAACAUUUGCACCUAUCAAGCGCUCCGGCAGAAAAGCAGACUGCUCGAGCGUGAUAAUUCGCCCUAGUAUUGGACUCAGCCUACGGGUUAAAAUUUUGGUGAGAAUCCUGUAAUCUGUAUUCAACAAGGUAAUCGGUCGAUAACUACCCGGGGAGGUGGGAGACCCCCGAUUUUUAUAAAUAACCGUGAUAGCACCUUGCAAGAAGCCAUCUGGGUGCAUUUGGGUUUGGCCCAUGGCUGUAUACAGUUGAGCAAGAACUGGUGCAAUCUCGUUCCGACACACCUUGUAUAAUUCAAUUGGGAUGCCAUCUAGACCGGGCGCUUUGCCUGGCGUCACUUCCUUGAGCACCGCUUCCACUUCAGCGUCAGACACCUCCGAUCUUCCUACAUGAUACGCAUCCUCCUCCGGAAUGACAAGGUGGCGGUUCCGCAGCGCCUCUAUAACAGCCAUCCUAGCCUCUUCAGUCACAUGAGUUGGGGAGGAACAAAUCUCUCCCCAAAAAUCCGCAACCAUCUGUGGCAACUUUAUCGUGUCUGUAAUAAGACGACCCGUUCUAUCUUGCAACGCUGGAAUAACUUGUAGAGUCUUAGACGGAUGCACAAGGGCAGUUAGCCCUCUACUAGGUCGUUCACCCUCACGAAUCCACUGUAAUCUAACCCGUUCCGCCUCCUGUGCACCUUCAGCUCUAGCCGCUUGUACAACCGCUACUUGGGCGUCAAUUGCCGCUUGGAUCCUCUGUGUACUCAUAUGUUCGGUCUGCACCUCUUCUAGUGCCCGUGUUGCAUUUUCUAUUGCCAAACGUACUUGCCCCCCCGGGGGAAACGACGUUCUCGCGCUUGCCGAUUAAGACAGUUAUUUCAUUGANNNNNNNNNNNNNNNNNNNNNNNNNNNNNNNNNNNNNNNNNNNNNNNNNNUCACCCAAGGCGGACGCACUAAGACUGGUUGGAGUAAUGCUCCCACAUAACGCACUGCCCAGCAUGCCCAUCGCGCUUGCACAUGUUGUCGUACUGCUAAUGCCCCAAAACCGCCCAAAGUUGGAUGGCCAUAUAACAAAUAUUUAGCAACCCCGGUGAGUCGUCUUUCUUGUGCGACCGGUCCGAGGUUCCUAUCAAUAAGCUUGGCCGCUUUAGCCUCAAUAUUCAUGAGUUUAGCUUCUGGGGGAAACCCCCCUUGUUCCAUAUGCCAUGUAACACGAUGCAGCCCAUAUGCAGCCGCUGCAUGUGCACGCCCAAAAAUGGAAAGAUUUAACACAGAAAUGCGUCGAAACCGAGCCCAGACUUUGUCUAGUUGCACAUCCCAGUCCCUGACUGUGGUUUCUCCCACAUCCGUAAAAGGUAGAUUGAGAGCCGUAGCCAUAUGUACGACCUUCAUGUCAUGAUUUAUUGUUGAUGUUGUUACAGGGUGGUUAAGCUUCACCAGUGGCCUCCUUCCCGAGGCAAUUCCCUGCUCUCCCCUGCUAGAGGGGCACCCUAAGCCAUUCACCCCAUCCGACUUCAAAGUGUACUCUUUGAGUUUGGCAACUCACCACCAGCAUCCAACCAAGUCUAGCGGAUCAACGGCGCGUCAUGUUAGUUCCUGGUCAGCUCGCGAGUUGAUUUUAUCACGUCCUACACCGUCCACAAGAUGGGGGGCCACCUCCCAUUUCAUCACCUCUCCAACACCCCAAGAGGUCGGCAGGCGGAUUUGAACCCGGACGCGUCGGGACGCGAUGGGAGCAGAAGCCAGGCCUUAACUUCUGCCAGCCGCCUGCC